rnacentral:rRNA from 1 species
GACGAACGCUGGCGGCGUGCUUAACACAUGCAAGUCGAACGGAAAGGCCCUGCUUUUGUGGGGUGCUCGAGUGGCGAACGGGUGAGUAACACGUGAGUAACCUGCCCUUGACUUUGGGAUAACUUCAGGAAACUGGGGCUACUACCGGAUAGGAGCUCCUGCUGCAUGGUGGGGGUUGGAAAGUUUCGGCGGUUGGGGAUGGACUCGCGGCUUAUCAGCUUGUUGGUGGGGUAGUGGCUUACCAAGGCUUUGACGGGUAGCCGGCCUGAGAGGGUGACCGGCCACAUUGGGACUGAGAUACGGCCCAGUCUCCUACGGGAGGCAGCAGUGGGGAAUAUUGCACAAUGGGCGGAAGCCUGAUGCAGCAACGCCGCGUGCGGGAUGACGGCCUUCGGGUUGUAAACCGCUUUCGCCUGUGACGAAGCGUGAGUGACGGUAAUGGGUAAAGAAGCACCGGCUAACUACGUG